UACGUAGGGGGCAAGCGUUGUCCGGAAUCAUUGGGCGUAAAGCGCGCGUAGGCGGCCCGGUAAGUCCGUUGUGAAAGUCAAAGGCUCAACCUUUGAACGCCGAUGGAUACUGCCGGGCUAGAGUCCGGAAGAGGCGAGUGGAAUUCCUGGUGUAGCGGUGGAAUGCGCAGAUAUCAGGAAGAACACCAACGGCGAAGGCAGCUCGCUGGGACGGUACUGACGCUGAGACGCGAAAGCGUGGGGAGCGAACAGG
rnacentral:rRNA from 1 species